CUGGGGGCAAAUUUUUCUCUGUAUAUUCCUUCUCGCGAUCUUCAUUUUCGGAACUUGUUCGGCGAUGAAGGUCAACCGCCUCAGUUCAAACAUUUACGUAUCCAAGGUAUAUAUCUUCAAAUCAGUUCUUUUAACUGCAAUGACAGACGACUUCAAUGAUUUGACAAAAUCCUCAAUAUAUAGAAUAACUACCAACACGUCCCUUUG
rnacentral:lncRNA from 1 species